AGGCUUCCAAGACUCGACUGAUGG
rnacentral:siRNA from 1 species